UACAGACAUCCUCCCUCAAGCUGUGAUCUUGUCAGAACUCAUAAGCCAAACGGGUAGGAGCUGGGUGUGUACUUGGAUAAGAGACCUAUUAAGGGGAAAUAAAGGUAUUCUGGAU
rnacentral:rRNA from 1 species